UACGAAGGGGGCUAGCGUUGCUCGGAAUCACUGGGCGUAAAGGGUGCGUAGGCGGGUCUUUAAGUCAGGGGUGAAAUCCUGGAGCUCAACUCCAGAACUGCCUUUGAUACUGAAGAUCUUGAGUUCGGGAGAGGUGAGUGGAACUGCGAGUGUAGAGGUGAAAUUCGUAGAUAUUCGCAAGAACACCAGUGGCGAAGGCGGCUCACUGGCCCGAUACUGACGCUGAGGUGACGAAAGCGUGGGGAGCAA
rnacentral:rRNA from 1 species